rnacentral:rRNA from 1 species
UUAAAUUGAAGAGUUUGAUCAUGGCUCAGAUUGAACGCUGGCGGCAGGCCUAACACAUGCAAGUCGAACGGUAACAGGAAGCAGCUUGCUGCUUCGCUGACGAGUGGCGGACGGGUGAGUAAUGUCUGGGAAACUGCCUGAUGGAGGGGGAUAACUACUGGAAACGGUAGCUAAUACCGCAUAAUGUCGCAAGACCAAAGAGGGGGACCUUCGGGCCUCUUGCCAUCGGAUGUGCCCAGAUGGGAUUAGCUAGUAGGUGGGGUAACGGCUCACCUAGGCGACGAUCCCUAGCUGGUCUGAGAGGAUGACCAGCCACACUGGAACUGAGACACGGUCCAGACUCCUACGGGAGGCAGCAGUGGGGAAUAUUGCAC